UACGUAGGGGGCAAGCGUUGUUCGGAAUUACUGGGCGUAAAGCGCACGUAGGCGGAUUGUUAAGUCGGGGGUGAAAUCCUGGAGCUCAACUCCAGAACUGCCUUCGAUACUGGCGAUCUUGAGUCCGGGAGAGGUGAGUGGAACUCCGAGUGUAGAGGUGAAAUUCGUAGAUAUUCGGAAGAACACCAGUGGCGAAGGCGGCUCACUGGCCCGGUACUGACGCUGAGGUGCGAAAGCGUGGGGAGCCAAACAGGG
rnacentral:rRNA from 1 species